AGGGUAGAGACUUUCAGAGAUGGAUUGGUGCCUUCGGGACUCUGAUACAGGUGCUGCAUGGCUGUCGUCAGCUCGUGUCGUGAGAUGUUGGGUUAAGUCCCGCAACGAGCGCAACCCUUAUCCUUUGUUGCCAGCGGUUCGGGCGGGAACUUUAAGGAAACUGCCCGUGAUAAACUGGAGGAAGGGGGGGAUGACGUCCAGUCAUCAUGGCCCUUACGAGUAGGGCUACACACGUGCUACAAUGGCGCAUACAAAGGGAAGCGACCUCGCGAGAGGGAGCGGAUCUCAUAAAGUGCGUCGUAAUCCGGAUUGGAGUCUGCAACUCCACUCCAUGAAGUCGGAAUCGCUAGUAAUCGUGGAUCAGAAUGCCACGGUGAAUACGUUCCCGGGUCUUGUACACACCGAAGA
rnacentral:rRNA from 1 species